AGCGAACGCUGGCGGUAGGCUUAACACAUGCAAGUCGAACGGCAGCACAGUAAGAGCUUGCUCUUACGGGUGGCGAGUGGCGGACGGGUGAGGAAUACAUCGGAAUCUACUUUUUCGUGGGGGUUAACGUAGGGAAACUUACGCCAAUACCGCAUACGACCUACGGGUGAAAGCAGGGGAUCUUCGGACCUUGCGCGAUUGAAUGCGCCGAUGUCGGAUUAGCUAGUUGGCGGGGUAAAGACCCACCAAGGCGACGAUCCGUAGCUGGUCUGAGAGGAGGGUCAGCCACACUGGAGCUGAGACACGGUCCAGACUCCUACGAGAGGCAGCAGUGGGGAAUAUUGGACAGUGGGCGCGAGCCUGAUCCAGCCAUACCGCGUGGGUGAAGGAGGCCUUCGGGUUGUAAAGCCCUUUUGUUGGGAGAGAAAAGCAGCAGGUUGAUACCCCGCUGUUCUGACGGUACCCAAAGAAUAAGCACCGGCUAACUUCGUG
rnacentral:rRNA from 1 species